GCUUUUACAAAGAAAACCGGGUAGUUUUUUAGGCUGAGGCUGGAGGAUGGUUGGAGCUCAGGAGCUCUGAGCUGCAGUGGAUUUGGUUUGGUAUCGAUAUGGUCUUCCUGGGGGAGCCUGGGACAACCAGGUCGUCUAAGGAGGGGUGAAUCGGCCUAGGUCAGAAACGGAGCAGGUCAAAGCCCGCGUGCCGCUCAAUAGUGGGAUCGCACCUGGGAGUAGACGCUGAAGCACAGCCUGAGUUACUCAUCCAGACCCAGUGUUU
rnacentral:SRP_RNA from 1 species